GGUGUCGAUUUUUCUCUUGCUGCUGCAGUUGCAACUGCAGCUGGGGAUCUUUGGAAAACGAUGCAAUAAACUAGAUGUGCCACCCAAUGGAUACUUAAUAGAAAGGCGACACUUUUUGCAAGUCGGAUGCGACUUCAACUAUAUACUAGCGGGCAAAUCGACAAUUAGAUGUGGAAAAUAUGGACGACCCUAUGAUAAGAGAAUCUUCUCUGCCAGACCAGGCUGUGCACGGCCCUCAGAUCCGGAGGAUGGUAAAAUCCAGUUGAUAAACGGCUUAUCAGCUGUUGUUGAAAUUAUCAUUCGGACCUUACGGGGGCACAACUUGAUCACACCCUGCUAAAUGCAUACGGUGAACACUAUAUGCUGCUGGAGACUAGCCCAUACGCGAUUGGCCGCCCACAUUUGAUAUCUCCAAUAUAUUCGAAAGAGUUGAGCUUGAAGAAUUUGUGUUGUUUUGCUUUCAUUAUUACAUGUAUGGCUCUGGAGUUGGCAGUUUGGUGGUGUCAGUGAAGCCUGAUGGGGGGAAAUGGGAUUGAAUGAAAUGUGGGAAAAUCAGAGACUCUAUCGAAAGUUGAACAUAACUGGCAAUCAAGGCAACCAAUGGUUGGAGCAUACGAUUCUCAUCGACGAGGUGAACGAUGACUUUCAGAGGUG